UACGUAGGCAGCGAGCGUUGUUCGGAGUUACUGGGCGUAAAGGGUGUGUAGGCGGUUGUUUAAGUUUGGUGUGAAAUCUCCCGGCUCAACUGGGAGGUGCGCCGAAUACUGAAUAACUAGAGUGCGGGAGAGGAAGUGGAAUUCCUGGUGUAGCGGUGAAAUGCGUAGAUAUCAGGAGGAACACCGGUGGUGUAGACGGCUUUCUGGACCGUAACUGACGCUGAGACACGAAAGCGUGGGUAGCAAACAGG
rnacentral:rRNA from 1 species